AUGGCCAAGAUCCUGAAAGCAUCAUUUGUAGUCCUAACCUUUCAAGCAGCCUGGGUGAGUGGCCAGCAGGAGGAGGGACGUGACCAGCAGCAAGUGAGACAAAGUCCACAAUCUCUAACAGUCUGGGAAGGACAGACUUCAGUUCUGAACUGCACUUACGACAAUAGUGCAUUUGACUACUUCCCAUGGUACCAGCAGUUCCCUGGAGAAGGCCCUGCACUCCUGAUAGCCAUACGUUCAGUGUCAAAUAAAAAGAAAGAUGGAAGAUUCACGGUCUUCUUCAGUGAAAGGGAUAAACAGCUCUCCUUGCACAUCACAGAUUCUCAGCCUGGAGACUCAGCCACCUACAUCUGUGCAGCAAGUGCACAGUGCUCUCCAGGCACCUGAAGCCCACACACAAACCUGCAGCUGAGGAUCCAGGAAACCCUGC